UCUGGCAUGAAUGUGAAAAAAAUCAGAGUUCUGGGAGCUACAUUGCCAGAGGGAACUGCAUGAUUCAGAACCUUCAAUGGACUCAACACAUCUUAGGCCUCUUCCUAUCAGCUGAAAGACUGAAGAGAAAUGACGGAGGGGAAGAGGAAAUUCUGCCUCCAGGAUGCCUGCAGACUUGAGCUGCAACAAUAACUCCUUCCUCAGUCUCCAGUGUGCUGGCCUGUCCUGCAGAUUUCAAACUCUCCAGCCCCCACAACUGUGUGAGUCAAUUCCUUACAUAAACAUCUCUUCCUCUCUCUCUCUCUCCACACACCCACACGCAUCCUAUCGGUUCUGUUUCUCUUUUGAGAACCCUAAGACAGCUGGUGUUUGGUAAGGGACAAUAAAUGUUGAAAA